AACAUGGACAAACUUUGUAGUUUCAGAUUUGCAUGACACACCAUGCCAACUUGUCACCCACUUGACUUUUAACAUCAAUUUCCCUCUCUCUCUCUCUCUCUGUACUUUUUUCUUGAGGAGAAAAAAAAAAGCGACAAGAAGCCAAAACUUGGGUAAAGACAAUUAAGGGUAAAUAGUAAAUCUCCAUGGUUGUGAGCAUAUACAAAUUACUGUCACUUAU
rnacentral:lncRNA from 1 species